rnacentral:rRNA from 1 species
CGGACGGGUGAGUAACGCGUGAGAAUCUGCCUUCUGGUCGGGGACAACCAUUGGAAACGAUGGCUAAUACCGGAUGAGCCUACGGGUAAAAGAUUUAUUGCCAGAAGAGGAGCUCGCGUCUGAUUAGCUAGUUGGUGGGGUAAAAGCUCACCAAGGCAUCGAUCAGUAGCUGGUCUGAGAGGAUGACCAGCCACACUGGGACUGAGACACGGCCAG